rnacentral:tRNA from 2 species
GAAAUGAGAUGUUCAAGAGUGAGCUGCUAACUUAUCUCUUUAGCGGUUGAAUUCCGUUGUUAUUUCU